GACGAACGCUGGCGGCGUGCCUAAUACAUGCAAGUCGAACGAACGGAUAAAGAGCUUGCUCUUUUGAAGUUAGUGGCGGACGGUGAGUAACACGUGGGUAACCUGCCUCACAGCUGGGGAUAACAUCGAGAAAUCGAUGCUAAUACCGAAUGUGCUGAACAUCAUAAGAUGUUCAAGUGAAAGACGGUUUCGGCUGUCACUGUGAGAUGGACCCGCGCUGGAUUAGCUAGUUGGUAAGGUAAUGGCUUACCAAGGCGACGAUCCGAUAGCCGACCUGAGAGGGUGAUCGGCCACAUUGGGACUGAGACACGGCCCAAAACUCCCUAACGGGGAGAACAGCAGUAGGGAAUCUUCGGCAAAUGGACGAAAGUCUGACCGAGCAAACGCCGCGUG
rnacentral:rRNA from 1 species